rnacentral:rRNA from 1 species
UCUGGCUCAGAACGAACGCUGGCGGCGUGCUUAACACAUGCAAGUCGAACGCGAAAGGGACUUCGGUCCUGAGUAAAGUGGCGCACGGGUGAGUAACGCGUAGAUAACCUGUCUUCAUGUCUGGAAUAAUACGCCGAAAGGGGUACUAAUACCGGAUAUUCUUGCUUUUCAUAAGUUAUGCAAGCAAAGGUGGCCUCUGCAUAUGCUACUGCAUGAAGAGGGGUCUGCGUACCAUUAGCUAGUAGGUGGGGUAAUGGCCUACCUAGGCGACGAUGGUUAGCGGGUCUGAGAGGAUGAUCCGCCACACUGGCACUGGAACACGGGCCAGACUCCUACGGGAGGCAGCAGUGAGGAAUAUUGCGCAAUGGGGGAAACCCUGACGCAGCGACGCCGCGUGAGUGAGGAAGGCCUUCGGGUCGUAAAGCUCUGUCAAGAGGAAAGAAGUGUACAAUGGCUAAUACCUGUUGUAUUUGACGGUACCUCUAAAGGAAGCACCGGCUAACUCCGUGCCAGCCGCCGC